rnacentral:misc_RNA from 1 species
GAUGAAGAACGUAGCGAAAUGCGAUACGUAAUGUGAAUUGCAGAAUUCAGUGAAUCAUCGAAUCUUUGAACGCAUAUUGCGCUCUCUGGUAUUCCGGAGAGCAUGCUUGUUUGAGUAUCAGUAAACACCUCAACUUCCAUAUCUUUUUUGAAAUGGGAGUUGGACUUGAGUAAUCCCAACGCUUUUCCUCACCGAAAAGUGGCGGGUUACUUGAAAUGCAGGUGCAGCUGGACUUUUCUCUGAGCUAUAAGCAUAUCUAUUUAGUCUGCCUAAAAAACAGAUUAUUACCUUUGCUGCAGCUAACAUAAAGGAGAUUAGUUCUUGUGCUGACUGAUGCAGGAUUCACAAAGACAGGCUUCGGCCGACUUUGUAAACUCGAUCUCAAAUCAAGUAAGACUACCCGCUGAACUUAAGCAUAUCAAUAAGCGGAGGA